CGAAUGCUGACAUAAGUAACGAUAAAGCGGGUGAAAAGCCCGCUCGCCGGAAGACCAAGGGUUCCUGUCCAACGUUAAUCGGGGCAGGGUGAGUCGACCCCUAAGGCGAGGCCGAAAGGCGUAGUCGAUGGGAAACAGGUUAAUAUUCCUGUACUUGGUGUUACUGCGAAGGGGGGACGGAGAAGGCUAUGUUGGCCGGGCGACGGUUGUCCCGGUUUAAGCGUGUAGGCUGGUUUUCCAGGCAAAUCCGGAAAAUCAAGGCUGAGGCGUGAUGACGAGGCACUACGGUGCUGAAGCAACAAAUGCCCUGCUUCCAGGAAAAGCCUCUAAGCAUCAGGUAACAUCAAAUCGUACCCCAAACCGACACAGGUGGUCAGGUAGAGAAUACCAAGGCGCUUGAGAGAACUCGGGUGAAGGAACUAGGCAAAAUGGUGCCGUAACUUCGGGAGAAGGCACGCUGAUAUGUAGGUGAAGCGACUUGCUCGUGGAGCUGAAAUCAGUCGAAGAUACCAGCUGGCUGCAACUGUUUAUUAAAAACACAGCACUGUGCAAACACGAAAGUGGACGUAUACGGUGUGACGCCUGCCCGGUGCCGGAAGGUUAAUUGAUGGGGUUAGCGCAAGCGAAGCUCUUGAUCGAAGCCCCGGUAAACGGCGGCCGUAACUAUAACGGUCCUAAGGUAGCGAAAUUCCUUGUCGGGUAAGUUCCGACCUGCACGAAUGGCGUAAUGAUGGCCAGGCUGUCUCCACCCGAGACUCAGUGAAAUUGAACUCGCUGUGAAGAUGCAGUGUACCCGCGGCAAGACGGAAAGACCCCGUGAACCUUUACUAUAGCUUGACACUGAACAUUGAGCCUUGAUGUGUAGGAUAGGUGGGAGGCUUUGAAGUGUGGACGCCAGUCUGCAUGGAGCCGACCUUGAAAUACCACCCUUUAAUGUUUGAUGUUCUAACGUUGACCCGUGAUCCGGGUUGCGGACAGUGUCUGGUGGGUAGUUUGACUGGGGCGGUCUCCUCCUAAAGAGUAACGGAGGAGCACGAAGGUUGGCUAAUCCUGGUCGGACAUCAGGAGGUUAGUGCAAUGGCAUAAGCCAGCUUGACUGCGAGCGUGACGGCGCGAGCAGGUGCGAAAGCAGGUCAUAGUGAUCCGGUGGUUCUGAAUGGAAGGGCCAUCGCUCAACGGAUAAAAGGUACUCCGGGGAUAACAGGCUGAUACCGCCCAAGAGUUCAUAUCGACGGCGGUGUUUGGCACCUCGAUGUCGGCUCAUCACAUCCUGGGGCUGAAGUAGGUCCCAAGGGUAUGGCUGUUCGCCAUUUAAAGUGGUACGCGAGCUGGGUUUAGAACGUCGUGAGACAGUUCGGUCCCUAUCUGCCGUGGGCGCUGGAGAACUGAGGGGGGCUGCUCCUAGUACGAGAGGACCGGAGUGGACGCAUCACUGGUGUUCGGGUUGUCAUGCCAAUGGCACUGCCCGGUAGCUAAAUGCGGAAGAGAUAAGUGCUGAAAGCAUCUAAGCACGAAACUUGCCCCGAGAUGAGUUCUCCCUGACUCCUUGAGAGUCCUGAAGGAACGUUGAAGACGACGACGUUGAUAGGCCGGGUGUGUAAGCGCAGCGAUGCGUUGAGCUAACCGGUACUAAUGAACCGUGAGGCUUAACCUU
rnacentral:rRNA from 1 species